rnacentral:rRNA from 1 species
UACGGAAGGCAGCAGUGGGGAAUAUUGCACAAUGGGCGCAAGCCUGAUGCAGCCAUGCCGCGUGUAUGAAGAAGGCCUUCGGGUUGUAAAGUACUUUCAGUCGUGAGGAAGGUGUUAAGGUUAAUAACCUUAGCAAUUGACGUUAGCGACAGAAGAAGCACCGGCUAACUCCGUGCCAGCAGCCGCGGUAAUACGGAGGGUGCGAGCGUUAAUCGGAAUUACUGGGCGUAAAGGGCACGCAGGCGGUUAAUUAAGUUGGAUGUGAAAUCCCCGGGCUUAACCUGGGAAUGGCAUUCAAGACUGGUUAGCUAGAGUCUUGUAGAGGGGGUAGAAUUCCAUGUGUAGCGGUGAAAUGCGUAGAGAUGUGGAGGAAUACCGGUGGCGAAGGCGGCCCCUGGCAAAGACUGACGCUCAUGUGCGAAAGCGUGGGGAGCAAACGAGGAUUAGAUACC